rnacentral:rRNA from 1 species
UAGCCUACGGGGGGCAGCAGUGGGGGAUAUUGCACAAUGGGGGAAACCCUGAUGCAGCGACGCCGCGUGGGUGAAGAAGCGCCUCGGCGCGUAAAGCCCUGUCAGCAGGGAAGAAAAUGACGGUACCUGAAGAAGAAGCCCCGGCUAACUACGUGCCAGCAGCCGCGGUAAUACGUAGGGAGCAAGCGUUAUCCGGAUUUAUUGGGUGUAAAGGGUGCGUAGACGGGAAUUUAAGUUAGUUGUGAAAUCCCUCGGCUCAACUGAGGAACUGCAACUAAAACUGGAUUUCUUGAGUGCUGGAGAGG